rnacentral:rRNA from 1 species
UCGGGAAUUUUGGGCAAUGGGGGAAACCCUGACCCAGCAACGCCGCGUGAAGGAUGAAGUAUUUCGGUAUGUAAACUUCGAAAGAAUAGGAAGAAUAAAUGACGGUACUAUUUAUAAGGUCCGGCUAACUACGUGCCAGCAGCCGCGGUAAUACGUAGGGACCAAGCGUUGUUCGGAUUUACUGGGCGUAAAGGGCGCGUAGGCGGCAUGACAAGUCACUUGUGAAAUCUCUGGGCUUAACCCAGAACGGCCAAGUGAUACUGUCGCGCUAGAGUGCAGAAGGGGCAAUCGGAAUUCUUGGUGUAGCGGUGAAAUGCGUAGAUAUCGGGAGGAACACCUGUGGCGAAGGCGGCCACCUGGUUGGAUACUGACGCUGAGACGCGAAAGCGUGGGGAGCAAACAGGAUUAGAUACCCCAGUAGUCCCUGAGCGGGCUGGCAAGGCGCAU